UCCCAGGACUGAGCCGGCUCCA
rnacentral:misc_RNA from 1 species